rnacentral:rRNA from 1 species
AUUGAACGCUGGCGGCAUGCCUUACACAUGCAAGUCGAACGGUAACAGGUCUUCGGAUGCCGACGAGUGGCGAACGGGUGAGUAAUACAUCGGAACGUGCCUAGUAGUGGGGGAUAACUACUCGAAAGAGUGGCUAAUACCGCAUGAGAUCUACGGAUGAAAGCAGGGGAUCGCAAGACCUUGUGCUACUAUAGCGGCCGAUGGCAGAUUAGGUAGUUGGUGGGAUAAAAGCUUACCAAGCCGACGAUCUGUAGCUGGUCUGAGAGGACGAUCAGCCACACUGGGACUGAGACACGGCCCAGACUCCUACGGGAGGCAGCAGUGGGGAAUUUUGGACAAUGGGCGCAAGCCUGAUCCAGCAAUGCCGCGUGCAGGAUGAAGGCCUUCGGGUUGUAAACUGCUUUUGUACGGAACGAAAAGCCCCGGGUUAAUACCCUGGGGUCAUGACGGUACCGUAAGAGUAAGCACCGGCUAACUACGUGCCAGCCGCCGCAGUAA